GUCUAUGGCCAUGCCACCCUGAACAAGCCCGAUCCCGUCUGAUCUCAGAAGCUAAGCAGGGUCGGGCCUGGUUAGUACUCGGAUGGGAGACCACCUAGGAAGACCAGGUGCUGUAGGCA
rnacentral:rRNA from 1 species